ensembl:lncRNA
GUAAGAAGGUAGAAACUAGAACCUGUAGGACCUGUCUUGUUGAUAGUGUUGGUAAGAAGGUAGAAACUAGAACCUGUAGGACCUGUCUUGUUGGUAAGAAGGUAGAAACUAGAACCUGUAGGACAUGUCUUGUUGAUAGUGUUGGUAAGAAGGUAGAAACUAGAACCUGUAGGACCUGUCUUGUUGGUAAGAAGGUAGAAACUAGAACCUGCAGGACCUGUCUUGUUGAUAGUGUUGUUAAGAAGGUAGAAACUAGAACCUGUAGGACCUGUCUUGUUGAUAGUGUUGGUAAGAAGGUAGAAACUAGAACCUGUAGGACCUGUCUUGUUGAUAGUGUUGUUAAGAAGGUAGAAACUAGAACCUGUAGGACAUGUCUUGUUGAUAGUGUUGGUAAGAAGGUAGAGCAGUGCUUUAUUAUGGACAUACUUCUCCCCAUCUUAGCUACUGUUAAAUUAAUAUGUUUUGACCGUGAGUUUACAAUCCAGGGUUACUCUAAGCAGUUUAGUCAUCUCAACAUGCUCAAUUUCCACAUGAUUUAUUACAAGAUUUAGUUGAGGUUUACAGUUUAGUGAAUGUUUUGUAGCAAAUACAAUGCUUUUAGUUUUAGAAAUAUUUAGCUAACUUAUUCCUUGCCACCCACUCUGAAACUAACUGCAACUCUUUGUUAAGUGUCACAGUCAUUUCAGUCACUGUAGUAGUGUUGGUCAUUACUGAGAUGUGGCUAAGGAAGAGUGUUUGGAAUACUGAUGUUAACCUUUCUGGUUAUAACCUUUUUAGGCAAGACAGAUCUUGCCUAAAAAGGUGGGGGAGUGACAAUCUUUACUCAGUUGUCUCCACCAAGUCUGUCCCCAAACAAUUUGAUGUGCUGGUUUUAAGUAUUAAACUUUCAAAUAGUUCUUUGUUGACUGUUGCUGGGUGCUAUCGUCCUCCAUCAGCACCGGCCUGUACCCUACUCUCUCCUGGCCCAAGCUUUCUCCUGCCCACUUACACCAAGCCUGAAUUUGUCCUGCUAGGUGACCUAAACUGGGACAUACUUAAACUAUCUGACCAAGUCCUAAAGCAAUGGGACUCCCUAAAUCAUUCUCAGAUCAUUACCAAUCCCACAAGGUAUGACUCCAAACACCCAGAAAAAGCUACUCUUCUUGAUGUUAUCCUCAAAAAUAAUCUUGAUAGGUAUCAGUCUGGCGUUUUCUGUAAUGACCUUAGUGAUCACUGUUUAUCAGCCUGUGUUCGUAAUGGAUGCUCAGUGAAACAACCUGUCCUGAUUUGGUAUAGAAUCAGCUUGAUCCCCUCUGUCGAAGACACUUGGACCUUCUUUUUUAUAUACAAAAAAAGAACCGAAUGGUUCUUUACCAUUCGGUCAUCAGAUUUGGCACCAAUGCUCCAUAUAGGACACAUCACUGCACUC